AGCAGCCGCGGUAAUUCCAGCUCCAAUAGCGUAUAUUAAAGUUGUUGCAGUUAAAAAGCUCGUAGUUGAAUUUCGGGAUCAAUAUAUUGGUCGUGCCUUCGGUAUGCACUGGUAUUAUUGAUUUCUACCUUCUGACGAACCAUGAUGUCAUUAAUUUGGUGUCAUGGGGAAUCAGGACUGUUACUUUGAAAAAAUUAGAGUGUUUAAAGCAGGCACACGCUUGAAUACAUUAGCAUGGAAUAAUGAAAUAGGACGUUUGAUCUUAUUUUGUUGGUUUCUAGGAUCGACGUAAUGAUUAAUAGGGAUAGUUGGGGGCAUUAGUAUUCAAUUGUCAGAGGUGAAAUUCUUGGAUUUAUUGAAGACUAACUACUGCGAAAGCAUUUGCCAAGGAUGUUUUCAUUAAUCAAGAACGAAAGUUAGGGGAUCGAAGACGAUCAGAUACCGUCGUAG
rnacentral:rRNA from 1 species